UACAGAGGUCCCAAGCGUUGUUCGGAUUCACUGGGCGUAAAGGGUGCGUAGGUGGUGAGGUAAGUCUGAUGUGAAAGCUCCGAGCUUAACUCGGAAAUGGCAUUGGAUACUAUCUCGCUAGAGGUUUGGAGGGGGGACUGGAAUUGCCGGUGUAGCAGUGAAAUGCGUAGAUAUCGGUAGGAACACCAGUGGCGAAAGCGAGUCCCUGGACAACACCUGACACUGAGGCACGAAAGCUAGGGGAGCAAACAGG
rnacentral:rRNA from 1 species